CUCAAAGAGUAUAAAAGGAAAGGGGACCUGUCAGAAUUUGAAACUGAGAACAAGAAAAUACUUCUAAACCAACAGAGAAGCUCCUGCCUUUCAAAAAUGUAAUCAGCAUUACAAUCAUUAGUUUCCUUCUUCCCCUUCCUUCAGAGGGAGGAGUUUACAGUAAAUGAAUUUGGAAGUUCAGUGAAUACUGAGUUACCUUCAAAAAUAACUCAAGAGGCAGAGAUAGGAAGGAUUCAAGCUUCAGAAUAUAGGUGAAGCCAAAGAAGAAGCUGGAAAUCUAAACCUGUCUGGGUGACUUUUUGAAAAUUUUCUCUUGCUGAUGUGGGGAGUUUCAUGGCUCUUUGCUACUUUGGAAAGAUUUUCAUGCUGAAUGAAUCCUGGGGACUGUGUGAGUCCUUUACCCUGUGAACUUCUCAGGGCCCGAGACAGGGCUUGCAUACAGCAGAAGACUUUGAUGACCUUCAAUCAGGAUUGAUAUGGAAUCUGCUCUUUCUAUUAAUCACUUUGCUGUUUGUUGAGUUCUGGAAAGCAAGCACUGAUUCACAGAAGGAAAUAUCACCAAGUCGCUAGACUGGAAUAGUAGCUUUAUUGAAUCUCCAUCUUAGAUCCUAUUUCUGUAUCCUUUAAACAAAGAAGCACAUGAUAUAUCUGCUGAGAAGAUAAAGCUGUGUGCGAGUGUAGAACCAGAAAUUCAGCGUCCCGAUCCAGGGAGCACAUGGGUCUGCUGAGAGCAUCCACACUGAGGCUGCCAUGCCUGAAAGAAGACGCAGCCUUGCUUAAAAGAGAUUGAAUCUUUCAUACCCUUAAUCAGCUACAUCUCUGUGUUCUGUGUUGUGAUGUCUAAUUUCCAGAGGAACGAUCAUUCUCAAACCACAUAAAUGAUGAUGCUUUUGGAAAAAAAAAAGCAAUAAAAAUGAAAAUCCCAUCUCUUUUAAAAGUAAAGAUUUCGAAAUGAA